CAAUUAUACGGCGAAACUGCGAAUGGCUCAUUAUAUAAGUUAUCGUUUAUUUGAUAGUACCUUACUACUUGGAUAACCGUGGUAAUUCUAGAGCUAAUACAUGCUGAAAAUCCCGACUUCGGAAGGGAUGUAUUUAUUAGAUUAAAAACCAAUGCCCUCCUGGGCUCUCUGGUGAUUCAUGAUAACUUCUCGAAUCGCACGGCCUCGCGCCGGCGAUGGUUCAUUCAAAUUUCUUCCCUAUCAACUUUCGAUGUUUGGGUAGUGGCCAAACAUGGUUGCAACGGGUAACGGAGGGUUAGGGCUCGACCCCGGAGAAGGAGCCUGAGAAACGGCUACUACAUCCAAGGAAGGCAGCAGGCGCGCAAAUUACCCAAUCCCGACACGGGGAGGUAGUGACAAUAAAUACUGAUACAGGGCUCUUUCGGGUCUUGUAAUUGGAAUGAGUACAAUUUAAAUCCCUUAACGAGGAACAAUUGGAGGGCAAGUCUGGUGCCAGCAGCCGCGGUAAUUCCAGCUCCAAUAGCGUAUAUUAAAGUUGUUGUGGUUAAAAAGCUCGUAGUUGAACCUUGGGCCUGGCUGGCCGGUCCGCCUCACCGCGUGUACUGGUCCGGCCGGGCCUUUCCCUCUGUGGAACCCCAUGCCCUUCACUGGGCGUGGCGGGGAAACAGGACGUUUACUUUGAAAAAAUUAGAGUGCUCCAGGCAGGCCUAUGCUCGAAUACAUUAGCAUGGAAUAAUGAAAUAGGACGCGCGGUUCUAUUUUGUUGGUUUCUAGGACCGCCGUAAUGAUUAAUAGGGACAGUCGGGGGCAUCAGUAUUCAAUUGUCAGAGGUGAAAUUCUUGGAUUUAUUGAAGACUAACUACUGCGAAAGCAUUUGCCAAGGAUGUUUUCAUUAAUCAGGAACGAAAGUUAGGGGAUCGAAGACGAUCAGAUACCGUCGUAGUCUUAACCAUAAACUAUGCCGACUAGGGAUCGGACGAUGUUAUUUUUUGACUCGUUCGGCACCUUACGAGAAAUCAAAGUGCUGG
rnacentral:rRNA from 1 species